rnacentral:rRNA from 1 species
GGUUCGAUUAUGGCUCAGAUUGAACGCUGGCGGAUGCUUUACACAUGCAAGUCGAACGGCACGGACUUCGGGUCUGUGGCGAGUGGCGAACGGGUGAGUAAUGUAUCGGAACGUGCCUAGUAGCGGGGGAUAACUACGCGAAAGCGUAGCUAAUACCGCAUACGCCCUUCGGGGAAAGUGGGGACCCUGGGCCUCGCACUAUUAGGAGCGGCCGGAGACGAUUAGCUAGUUGGUGGGUAACGGCUCACCAAGGCGACGAUCCGCAGCUGGUCGCGAGAGACGACCAGCCACACUGGGACUGAGACACGGCCCAGAUCCCUACGGGAGGCAGCAGGGGGAAUUUUGGACAAUGGGGGAAACCCUGAUCCAGCCAUCCCGCGUGUGCGAUGAAGGCUCGGGUUGUAAAGCACUUUGGCAGGAAGAAACGGCACGGGAUAAUACCCCGUGCAACUGACGGUACUCUGCAGAACAAGGAACGCUAACUACGUGCCGCCAGCAGCCGCGGUAAUACGUAGGGUGCAGCGUUAAUCGGAAUUACUGGGCGUAAAGCGUGCGCAGGCGGCCUGGAAAGAAAGAUGUGAAACCUGUAUUUAACUUUGGAACGGCAUUUUUAACUACCGAGCUAGAGUGUGUCAGAGGGAGGUGGAAUUCGGCGUAGCAGUGAAAUGCGUAGAUAUGCGGAGGAACACCGAUGGCGAAGGCAGCCUCCGGGAUAACACUGACGCUCAUGCACGAAAGCGUGGGGAGCAAACAGGAUUAGAUACCCUGGUAGUCCACGCCCUAAACGAUGCUGAAUUAGCUGCUGGGGCCUUCGGGCCUUUGGUGAAGCAGCCAACGUGAAACUGACCGCCUGGGGAGUACGGUCGCAAGAUUGGGAAAACUCAAAGGAAUUGAUGGGGACUCGCACAAGCGGUGGAUGAUGUGGAUUAAUUCGAUGCAACGCGAAAACCUUACCUACCCUUGACAUGUCUGGAAUCCCGAAGAGAUCGGGAGGCCGCAAGAGAACCGGAACACAGAAGCUGCAUGGCUGUCGUCAGCUCGUGUCGAGAUGUUGGGUUAAGUCCUGCAACGAGCGCAACCCCAUGUCAUUAGUUGGCGCCAAAGCGUACUCACGACUGGUGACAAACCGGAGGAAGGUGGGAUGACGUCAAGUCCUCAUGGCCCUUAUGGGUAGGGCUUCACACGUCAUACAAUGGUCGGGACAGAGAGUCGCCAACCCGCGAGGAGCCAAUCCCAGAAACCCGAUCGUGGUCCGGAUCGCAGCCUGCAACUCGACUGCGUGAAGUCGGAAUCGCUAGUAAUCGCGGAUCGGCAUGUCGCGGUGAAUACGUUCCCGGGUCUUGUACACACCGCCCGUCACACCAUGGGAGUGGGUUUUACCAGAAGUAGUUAGCCUAACCGUAAGGAGGGCGAUUACCACGGCAUCUACACUGGGGUGAAGUCGUAACAAGGUAA